ACCCGCUCAGUAGGGGCAUGCUGAUGCUGUGGGGCUGGGUCUUUGGAAAGUGAGCUGAACACCAAUGUUUGCCUCUGGCCGUCCUGACCACAGAUACAAUGUGUUCAACCGUCUCAAACUCGACCACCAUAACUUCCGGAAUCAAAAGCCUAUAAAAAUAAACCCUGAGGGCUGGAGAGAUGACUCCGCGGGCAAAGAGCUUGCUGCAUAAGCGUGAGGACAGGAGUUUGAAUCCCCGUAUAAUGCCAGGUAUUUCUCAACAGCAGUGAGAGAAGUAACACUUUUGACCCUGAGUGCGUCCUGACCCCCUCUGAGCUCUGCUUCGGACUGACAAAAAGGUAGUUCCAACAAGAAACACAGGAUGGAAAUAUUGGCUGGGAACUCAAGCAAGGAUAAAGAGUGAUAAAGAGUGGCACACAGAGCCAGGCAGAGUGGGACACGCCUACCAUCCCGGUACUGGGGAGGCCGAGGCAGGAAGAUUGUGCGUGUAAGGCCAGCCUGGUCUACACAAGAGCUCUGGGGUUGGUGCUCGAGUGUAACCCAUCACAGAGCGGGUUAGCUAACUACCUACUGCUACAGUGUUGCGCCCACCUUGUCAGGCAAGGAAAACACAACAGCUGCCUCCCAGUGCAGAUUCAAGGAAAUGUAUAUUCAAAGUCAGGAGAAGGAAACGUUAUCCACGGAGCUGCUGUUUCAGAGCGGUGCAAGGUCAUGGAGGAAGGAUGUCAUUCCCUAGGAGGAGCGAGAGAAGAGGCAAAGAUGCUCUCACGUCGUCGCAGGGCCAGCGGGACAAAGAGGGAUAUAAAGCAACAGAGAUGGCUCCGUGAGCAAGAACACCUGCUGGGCAAGCGAGAGGAGCUAGUUCAAAUCUCCAGGAUCCACAUAAGGAUGACUGUGCAUUCCUGUGAUCCCAUCGGUAGGGAGGUGUCAGAGACAAGUGGAUUACAAGGGCUUGUUGGCCAGCCAGUGCAGCGGGAAU